AACCUCUGAUGCUUUUGAAAAUGAACACUUGCUGGCCAUUUGAAAUUAUAUAAAAGGCCCAAAAUGUAAUCUCUUCGACAUAUUCACAUUUGUGCUCGCAAUAUGAAGUUUACUUUCGCAUUACUUGCCGUUCUUUCCAUUGGCGUGAUUGGAACAUGGUCUGCGGCCACGAACCAAGAGGCUGAGGUUAUGGCCGAGGAAAGACAAGGCUUCUCUCUUGGAGGGGACUUGUUCAGCUCUUACUAUAAUGACUGCUCUCGUCAAUUUUGUCCGACGUACAAGCAUCGUUGUUGUUGUGAGGGGGCAUUAAUGGGAAGCAAGUUUUGUUGCGAGGUGCGAACUAAUGGCGAACCCUGCUCUCUGUACACAUGUAGAGAUGGAUAUUGGCAAUGUGCCCAAGGUUGCUGAAAGGUAUUCUUUGGUUGAGAUCGACACUUGGAAGAUAAUGGAUGUGAAAUUGGAUGCUGAUGGUUGCAAAGCUUUACCUCUAACAGGAGAUUUUAAUUCGAAUCAACAAUCAAAAGUGACCAGUAUUUGAUGAUUGGAAUACAAAAUGUAUCUUUUUGUCA